rnacentral:rRNA from 1 species
GUGGGGAAUUUUGGACAAUGGGCGAAAGCCUGAUCCAGCCAUGCCGCGUGCAGGAUGAAGGCCUUCGGGUUGUAAACUGCUUUUGUACGGAACGAAAAGACUCCUUCUGAUAAAGGGGGUCCAUGACGGUACCGUAAGAAUAAGCACCGGCUAACUACGUGCCAGCAGCCGCGGUAAUACGUAGGGUGCAAGCGUUAAUCGGAAUUACUGGGCGUAAAGCGUGCGCAGGCGGUUAUAUAAGACAGAUGUGAAAUCCCCGGGCUCAACCUGGGAACUGCAUUUGUGACUGUAUAGCUAGAGUACGGUAGAGGGGGAUGGAAUUCCGCGUGUAGCAGUGAAAUGCGUAGAUAUGCGGAGGAACACCGAUGGCGAAGGCAAUCCCCUGGACCUGUACUGACGCUCAUGCACGAAAGCGUGGGGAGCAAACAGGAUUAGAAACCCCGGUAGUCC